CCCAGACUCCUACGGGAGGCAGCAGUAGGGAAUAUUGCUCAAUGGGGGAAACCCCGAAGCAGCAACGCCGCGUGGAGGAUGAAGGUUUUCGGAUUGUAAACUCCUUUUGUUAGAGAAGAUAAUGACGGUAUCUAACGAAUAAGCACCGGCUAACUCCGUGCCAGCAGCCGCGGUAAUACGGAGGAUGCGAGCGUUAUCCGGAUUUAUUGGGUUUAAAGGGUGCGUAGGCGGACUGUUAAGUCAGCGGUAAAGGCCGGGGGCCCACCCCCGGCGAGCCGUUGAAACUGGCUGUCUUGAGAUGUCGAGAGGUAUGCGGAAUGCGCAGUGUAGCGGUGAAAUGCUUAGAUAUUGCGCAGAACUCCGAUUGCGAAGGCAGCAUACCGGCGGCGAUCUGACGCUGAGGCACGAAAGCGUGGGUAUCGAACAGGAUUAGAUACCCUUGUA
rnacentral:rRNA from 1 species